rnacentral:rRNA from 1 species
UGGGGAAUAUUGCACAAUGGGCGCAAGCCUGAUGCAGCCAUGCCGCGUGUGUGAAGAAGGCCUUCGGGUUGUAAAGCACUUUCAGCGGGGAGGAAGGCGGUGAGGUUAAUAACCUCAUCGAUUGACGUUACCCGCAGAAGAAGCACCGGCUAACUCCGUGCCAGCAGCCGCGGUAAUACGGAGGGUGCAAGCGUUAAUCGGAAUUACUGGGCGUAAAGCGCACGCAGGCGGUCUGUCAAGUCGGAUGUGAAAUCCCCGGGCUCAACCUGGGAACUGCAUUCGAAACUGGCAGGCUAGAGGCUUGUAGAGGGGGGUAGAAUUCCAGGUGUAGCGGUGAAAUGCGUAGAGAUCUGGAGGAAUACCGGUGGCGAAGGCGGCCCCCUGGACGAAGACUGACGCUCAGGUGCGAAAGCGUGGGGAGCAAACAGG